AAAAAUCUAUCUAUGAAGGAUCAGGUGGAGGAUCAAAUGGAGGAUCAGGUGGAGGAUCAGGUGGAGGAUCAGGUGGAGGACUCAUCGUUGGUGUGGUCAUGACUGUUGUUCUUGCUCUCGUUGUUUGUGCUGGAAUUAUGGUCUGGAGAUGGAGAAGAAGAAGAACAGGUGAGAGGAGGAAGGAGGCAGAUGUGGAGUUUUCAGAGAACAGAUAUAGAGAUGUUUCAAUUUCAGGAGACACUACGAGGAUGGAGAGUAUAUUUUAAAUAUUCUUAAACAGUGUUUGUGGAA